rnacentral:rRNA from 1 species
UACGAGGGGGGCAAGCGUUGUUCGGAAUUAUUGGGCGUAAAGGGUGCGUAGGCGGUCUGACAAGUCUGAUGUGAAAUCUAUGGGCUCAACCCAUAGUCUGCAUCGGAAACUGUCGGGCUUGAGUAUGGGAGAGGUGAGUGGAACUUCCGGUGGAGCGGUGAAAUGCGUUGAGAUCGGAAGGAACGCCCGUGGCGAAAGCGAGGUCCUGGACGUCCUCUGACGCUGAGACGCGAAAGCCAGGGGAGCGAACGGG